UGGGGGAUAUUGCACAAUGGGCGAAAGCCUGAUGCAGCGACGCCGCGUGGGGGAUGAAGGCCUUCGGGUUGUAAACUUCUUUUGCUCUGAACAAGGCAUGCCUUUGGGGUGUGUUGAGUGCAGGGGUUGAUUAGCGCCGGCUAACCACGUGCCAGCAGCCGCGGUAAUACGUAGGGCGCGAGCGUUGUCCGGAAUUAUUGGGCGUAAAGGGCUUAUAGGUGGCUGGUUGCGUCUGUCGUGAAAGCUCAUGGCUUAACUGUGGGUGUGCGGUGGGUACGGGCUGGCUUGAGUGCAGGAGGGGAGGGUGGAAUUCCUGGUGUAGAGGUGGAAUGCGCAGAUAUGAGGAGGAAUACCGGUGGCGAAGGCGGGUCUCUGGGCUGUUACUGACGCUGAGGAGCGAAAGCGUGGGGAGCGAACAGG
rnacentral:rRNA from 1 species